CCUACGGGAGACAGCAGUGAGGAAUAUUGGUCAAUGGCCGGACGGCUGAACCAGCCAUGCCGCGUGAAGGUCAGUGCCCUAUAGGCGUUAAACUUCUUUUGUGCGGGGGCAAUAAUGGUCACGUGUGGCCCGACGAGAGUACCGUACGAAUAAGCAUCGGCUAACUCCGUGCCAGCAGCCGCGGUAAUACGGGGGAUGCAAGCGUUAUCCGGAUUUGUUGGGUUUAAAGGGUGCGUAGGCUGUGAGGUAAGUCAGCGGUGAAAUGCCCCCGCUCAACGGGGUGAAGUGCCAUUGAUACUGGCUGGCUAGAAUGCGGAUGCCGUGGGAGGAAUGUGUGGUGUAGCGGUGAAAUGCAUAGAUAUCACACAGAACACCGAUUGCGAAGGCAUCUCACGAAUCCGCGAUUGACGCUGAUGCACGAAAGCGUGGGUAUCAAACAGGAUUAGAUACCCUUGUAGUC
rnacentral:rRNA from 1 species